rnacentral:rRNA from 1 species
GGAGUGAGGGCAUGGGUGCUAAGGUCCAUGUCCGAGAGGGAAAGAACCCAGACCAUCAGCUAAGGUCCCCAAAUACAUGUUAAGUUGAAUUAACGAAGUAUGACUACUAUGACAGCUAGGAUGUUGGCUUGGAAGCAGCCAUUCAUUUAAAGAGUGCGUAACAGCUCACUAGUCGAGUGGUCGUGCGUGGAUAAUAAUCGGGCAUUAAACAUGUUACCGAAGCUAUGGGAUUAAAUAAAUCGGUAGGGGAGCAUUCCAGUCGGCGUAGAAGGCAGACCGUAAGGUCUUCUGGAGCGUCUGGAAAAGCAAAUGUAGGUAUAAGUAACGAUAAAGGGGGUGAGAAACCCCCUCGCCGAAAGACUAAGGUUUCCUGAUCAACGCUAAUCGGAUCAGGGUAAGUCGGGACCUAAGGCUAAGCCGAACGGCAAUGCCGAUGGACGAACCGGUUAAUAUUCCGGUACUGGCUAAUAGAGUGAUGUGGUGACGCAGGAGUGAAACUCCAUCCAUCUGACGGAAUAGAUGGAUUAAGGGUGUAGACGUUGAUUUUGGUAGGCAAAUCCGCCAGAAGAGUUGAACCUGAAAGUACGGCAAUCCUUCGGGAGCGCCGAUUGGAGGUAAUCAGACUGCCAAGAAAACCCGCUAAACAUAUCUAUUAAUCACCCGUACUGUAAACGGACACACGUAGUUGGGUUGAGUAUACUAAGGCGCUCGAGCGAUUCACAGUUAAGGAAUUAGGCAAAAUGACCCUGUAACUUCGGGAGAAAGGGUACCAGCGCGAGCUGGUCGCAGAGAAUAGGAGAUUGAAGCCCCAGUAAACGGCGGCCGUAACUAUAACGGUCCUAAGGUAGCGAAAUUCCUUGUCGGGUAAGUUCCGACCUGCACGAAUGGUGUAAUGAUCUUCUCACUGUCUCAACUGUGAUCUCGGUGAAAUUGUAGUAUCGGUGAAGAUGCCGAUUACCCGCGAUGGGACGAAAAGACCCCGUGAACCUUUACUAUAGCUUUACAUUGACGUUGGGCACUUGAUGUGUAGGAUAGGCCGGAGACUAUGAAGCAGGUACGCUAGUACAGGUGGAGUCACCCUUGAAAUACGGCCCUUUAAUUGUUUGACGUCUAACUUGGGUAUCCAAGGACAGUGUAUGGUGGGUAGUUUGACUGGGGUGGUCGCCUCCAAAAGAGUAACGGAGGCUUCUAAAGGUGUGCUCAGGACGAUUGGUAACCGUUCGUAGAGUGUAAUGGUAUAAGCACGCUUGACUGAGAGACCCACAAGUCGAUCAGGUAGGAAACUAGAGCAUAGUGAUCCGGUGGUUUCAGUAUGGAAUGGCCAUCGCUCAAAGGAUAAAAGGUACUCCGGGGAUAACAGGCUGAUCAUUC